rnacentral:rRNA from 1 species
UACGUAGGGUGCGAGCGUUGUCCGGAAUUAUUGGGCGUAAAGAGCUCGUAGGCGGUUUGUUGCGUCUAUCGUGAAAACCUGCAGCUUAACUGUGGGCUUGCGGUGGAUACGGGCAGACUUGAGUUCGGUAGGGGAGACUGGAAUUCCUGGUGUAGCGGUGAAAUGCGCAGAUAUCAGGAGGAACACCGGUGGCGAAGGCGGGUCUCUGGGCCGAUAUUGACGCUGAGGAGCGAAAGCGUGGGGAGCGAACAGG